rnacentral:rRNA from 1 species
ACGAACGCUGGCGGCGUGCCUAAUACAUGCAAGUCGAGCGGACUAAUUAAGAGCUUGCUCUUAUGAGGUUAGCGGCGGACGGGUGAGUAACACGUGGGCAACCUGCCCUGUAGACUGGGAUAACAUCGAGAAAUCGGUGCUAAUACCGGAUAAUUGUUGGAACUGCAUAGUUCUACUUAAAAGAUGGCUCCGGCUAUCACUAUAGGAUGGGCCCGCGGCGCAUUAGCUAGUUGGUAAGGUAAUGGCUUACCAAGGCGACGAUGCGUAGCCGACCUGAGAGGGUGAUCGGCCACACUGGGACUGAGACACGGCCCAGACUCCUACGGGAGGCAGCAGUAGGGAAUCUUCCGCAAUGGACGAAAGUCUGACGGAGCAACGCCGCGUGAGUGAUGAAGGUUUUCGGAUCGUAAAGCUCUGUUGUUAGGGAAGAACAAGUGCCGUUCGAAUAGGGCGGCACCUUGACGGUACCUAACCAGAAAGCCACGGCUAACUACGUG